AGCUCUGUCUGUACAGAUAUCUGCUGCUUCUGAAGAGCAACAGAAAAUGAGCAAGUCUCAGGGAUUUGUUUCAUUCAAAGAUGUGACUGUGGACUUUACUCAGGAGGAGUGGAAGCAGCUGGACUCUGCUCAAAGAAACCUGUACAAGGAUGUGAUGCUGGAGAACUAUAGCAACCUUGUUUCAGUGGUGAACUUGGAUGGAAAGAAAAUGGGUACUGCAUCCU